UACGUAGGGACAAAGCGUUGUCCGGAAUCAUUGGGCGUAAAGAGCGUGUAGGCGGCUUGUUAAGUCUUGCGUGAAAUCUCGGGGCUCAACCCCGAGCGGUCGUGAGAAACUGGCAGGCUAGAGUGCGGGAGAGGAGAGUGGAAUUCCUGGUGUAGCGGUGAAAUGCGCAGAUAUCAGGAAGAACACCCGUGGCGAAGGCGGCUCUCUGGAACGCAACUGACGCUGAGACGCGAAAGCGUGGGGAGCAAACAGG
rnacentral:rRNA from 1 species